GACGAACGCUGGCGGCGUGCUUAACACAUGCAAGUCGAACGGGGUUAAGGAGCUUGCUCCUUAACUUAGUGGCGAACGGGUGAGUAACGCGUGAGGAACCUGCCUUUCAGAGGGGGACAACAGUUGGAAACGACUGCUAAUACCGCAUAAGCGCACAGGACCGCAUGGUCCGGUGUGAAAAACUCCGGUGGUAUACGAUGGACCCGCGUCUGAUUAGCUAGUUGGUGAGGUAACGGCCCACCAAGGCGACGAUCAGUAGCCGGCCUGAGAGGGUGAACGGCCACAUUGGGACUGAGACACGGCCCAAACUCCUACGGGAGGCAGCAGUGGGGAAUAUUGCACAAUGGGGGAAACCCUGAUGCAGCGACGCCGCGUGAGUGAAGAAGUAUUUCGGUAUGUAAAGCUCUAUCAGCAGGGAAGAAAAUGACGGUACCUGACUAAGAAGCUCCGGCUAAAUACGUG
rnacentral:rRNA from 1 species